rnacentral:rRNA from 1 species
UACGAAGGGGGCUAGCGUUGUUCGGAAUUACUGGGCGUAAAGCGCACGUAGGCGGACAUUUAAGUCAGGGGUGAAAUCCCAGAGCUCAACUCUGGAACUGCCUUCGAUACUGGCGAUCUAGAGUCCGGAAGAGGUGAGUGGAACUCCUAGUGUAGAGGUGGAAUUCGUAGAUAUUAGGAAGAACACCAGUGGCGAAGGCGGCUCACUGGUCCGGUACUGACGCUGAGGUGCGAAAGCGUGGGGAGCAAACAGG